UUAAUGUUAAAAUUAGAGAAAUCAUUUUUUUUUAUUUUCUAUUUUCUCUGUUUCCCUCGAUACGAAAUAAUCUGAUACAUUUGUAGUUGUUAGAUGGAAGAUACUGAAUCUUGAUCAACCCCCAGGGAGAACUUAUGGGUGCAGCAACUUUUUUCUCAUAGGUUUCUAGUGGUUGCAGCAACUCAAGGUUCUGCAUACUCCAGCAAACCCGGACAAAUCAGCCUCUCUUGAGCUAGACCAGAUUCCGAUGAGCCCCCUCCUUGGGCUCGGGAUGAAGAGAGUCAAUGCCAACGGCAACGCCAACUCUGCAAAGUAGAAUAUCGAGAUUCCCUACCUUGUUUACUUACUUGCCUCAGAAAUCAACACAAUUGCUGCAAUAAGCUUCUUUUUCAUUUCUACCCUAUAAACCAAGAAAAUUAAAAUAUCAAAAUUGUAAAUUGGUUCACUGAUUAGAUUUGAAUUGAACGAAUGCUGAUAGGUUCUGGGUUUGAGUAUGUGAAUCAGAGCAUCUUCUAUGAUCCAUUGCUCGGGUUCUUUGCCUUCACCAGCAUCCCAACUUCUGAAUUUUGUGGUUCAAGUCUGUUAAAAUUAGAAGCUGAAAAACAAGACAGGAGAGGUGGAUAUCUUUAAGGUCAAGAACCCCUGACGCUUCUUGCUUUUCUCUUUGUUGGAAUACGAGUAAUCUCUUCUCAAUUACUGAUACAAUGUUGCUUCUUCUAUUGUUACAUUUCUGAAGUUCACCUGUGAAUACCACAACGAGCUCAGAGAACAAUCUGCAUUUCUAUGUAAAGAAUGUUAAAAUAUGAAAUAAAUACAUUAAUUUUACUUAUCAAUUGUUUCAAACAAUACAUUUCAAAUGAAUUUUAUGAUUUUGAAAAGUAAUCCAAACACAUGAAUUUUCUUAUAAGUUCAUCUGAAUUGAAUUCUAUAAUGAUUCUGGACAAUGAGAUAUAACUAGGUUAAUAUGCUGAGUAAGCUCAAGUUUUUCAGUGUCGUGUGUAAAAGAGCAGCAUUAUUUGUCUGUAGAAUGUGCUUGACAGAACGGAUGGCACUAUCAAGCAAUCUUGAUAAAUUGCAACUUUAUAUAGUAUCUAGGCAAAAAUUUCCUCAUGGCAGAGUUAUUUGUCUGUGUCAUUAUUGCCUGAAGCAUAGCCUGUGUAGGUGAAUUACCAACAAAGUUGAUGGAUUAAUACUGAUAAUAUGCAACUUGGUGACUUGAGAUGACAUGGAGGAUGGCAGUGAAAAGACUUACCAGCCUCGUAACUAUUUGAAAAGAUAUAGUCCUAAACCAAAUGAAAUGGAGCAGAUAGAUUCAUAUAGCCAGUUCCAAGUAGUUCAUGAUUGAUUGAGUUGAAUUUAUUAUAGAGCACUCUGAUUCUCAAGAAAACGAGAUUAAAGUCUUAGCAAAUGUAGACAAGGUCUAGAUUAUGAUUAGGACGUUGUAGAAUCUAUAUAAAGUCCUAGUUUUGCAUUUAUACAAACAGGUGCUGCUCAGUCUUUUGUGAAGUCCAGGAUGCACAUGCAAAGAUGUAGAUGAGCUGGAAUCAGGAAGUAGGUCUCCCCCUCUCUCUCAUCUAAUUUUUUUAUCCAAUAAAUCCUUUUAAGAAAUAAUCUUAUGACAGGUGAAUUAAAAAUUUUUUAGUUAAAAUUAAUUAAAAUAAUAGUUAAAAUAUAGAUAAAUAUAAAAAAUAAAUUUAUUAUCUAAAAUUUUAAAAUUAAAAUGCGUUUAAUAAAUGAAAUUGGUAAACUUUGUUUUAUCAUAUUUAGAGGACAAUCGAUUUAGGAAUUAGGAUGGCUUUUCAUCCUGUGAGGUUUGAUUGCUUUGGAAUCUUUAGGAAUUAGGUGCAAUUACCUGGUCCUUUUUAUCUCAUUUUUCCCCUUUUUCCUUUUACUUUCUUUUCUUUUUCUGACACAUUCAGAUGUGAAUACUGGAAAGUACUUUCAGAAUUUAUGCAUUAGACGGCCUUUUUCUUUUUUGAUGAAUAGACUGUCAUUUUUUUUACCCCAUUUUGAAAAUACCGUUUCUUCUUCUUUUUUUUUUUCGAAAAAUUGAAUUUCAUUGAAAGUUAAAUAGGUAUAAAGCCAAAUAUAAAUAUGUGCUGAGAAAAGGGUGCGUUUUUGUUGAUGACAAAGAAUCAGGGUGCUUAUGAUUUUGUCUGUAAAAGUUAGGGACCAUAUAUAUAUAAUAUCCCUGGUCAUGGAAUGGAUGAUUCAGAGUUUGAAAGUAAUAGAUUCCACACAAGGGUAUCUUAAAAAGAAAUUUACAUGGCUGUAAAUUAUUCUGACGGCUUCAGACCAACUUGUCAUGAACAGCAACCAGUUAUCUAGUUUGACAGGUGAGCGUCACGGUUUUUUUAUUGUUAUCUUGCUGUCAGACUAAUUAAGUUUGUAAGCCUUUCUUUUUUUUUCUCCCAACAGAAAUGAAGAUUUAUUUCUUUGACGAAAAUGGUACAAUAAUUUGGACUUUGGACAUAUUAUUUUCAGUAAAUUAUUGGAAGUAUGUUAUGUUCUAAGUUAGCGUAAGAUGGAAUUUUGAAGAAUCAAAGACUUGGAAGACAAUUAAUUUUGUUUGCUUAGCGGGAUACUUUUGAUAAAUUGUUUGACAAGUUAUUUAACAAUUUUUCAUUUAAUUAAUAAGAGAAAAUUUUCAUGGCGUGCAGUGCCGGUGACUAAAAUUUUUGCUGUUA